rnacentral:rRNA from 1 species
UCUGAAUCUGCGAACGGCUCCGCAAACCAGUUGUAAACCAAAGCAAGCAUACUCGUGGUCUGCCCUUCACGGGGUGGGCUGCGGGUGAUACGGAUAACCCUGGUAAUUCUGAGGCUAAUACGAGACUGUACUCCCUGGCUAACCGGGCGACUGGUAGGCUGGGGGGCGUGCGAUCUAUUUGCAAGACGAUUCCAGGAAGGGGUGCACGCUCUGACCGCGACAAAGACAGUUCUGCCGGACCUUCACGGGCGAGUCAGUUCUGAGCGGCUCUUGCGAUGUGCUUCUGACCUAUCAACUAGAUGGCAGCGUAACGGACAUGCUAUGGU